CGUCGGCCCCGAGCCGGGCGAGGCCGGGCGCCGGUCUUGCCGGCAUGUUUGAGCGGCAGACGCCGGCGGCCGGGAGACGCUGGGGCAGGGGCGGGGCCUUGCGGCUCCGUCGCCGCGACGCGAGCGGAGCCGCGUCUUUCCGCCCUGCGGUGGGGACGCGGGACACGUGGUGGGAAGGCGGAGGUCGCGUUCGGCGCAGGGCCUUCCCUGGGCCCGUGACAAGGAUCUGUCAUUCUACCGAAACCUUCACGCUGGGCUGGCAGUAGUUAGUUGCUACGUGGUUUGAAUGGCCUUUCCAAACGUCAACUCACAGAAUGUGUCCUCUGCCAUCUUCAUGCAAAAUAUCCUUCUGCUUGCUCAUCCUUCAAGACUCAAGAAUCAUCUUUGCUGCCAAGUCUCUUCUGAUAUUCCUAGCAGCGUCAGAAGAAUCCUCACAGACGUCUGAGAAAUCUUCGUUCUAUGGACCCUCCUUUGCAAGCAGCUUUCUAAUUCCCAUCUAGGAUUCUAAUUUCCGGAGUUUUCUUCCACAUGGUCACCAGCCCUGGAGAAAUGAUGCCUGUAUGUGACUAAUGAAAGUAUGGAAGUCCAGAGACUUCAGGAGUCAGUCAAGAUAGCCUAAGGGCAAUGAAAGCAUAGAUCUAAAUCUUCUCAUGGGCCUGAAGACAGAACUUUUACUGUAGGAGCCAUUUAGUCUUUACCUGGCCAAGUGCGCAUCGGUCAAAGGCAAACUCUGAAUUGAGCUUUGUGCCAGUCUCUGGAAAGACACCCAAGAGCGUGUGAUGGGGAAAGUGACAGCGGCGGUGGCAGCGACAUCUGCAGUGCCAGCCCCGUCCCUAUCUGCCACAGAACGCGUGUGGGCAGGCUUUAUGAGAACAAUCCACCCGCCAGAGAAUGGGGCUUUUGACAUCAGCUGAGGCCCGGGCUGCCUUACAAUGAGAGGCCUGUUGGUGAAAGGGAGACUGUUUAAUGAACUGAGAAUCAGAGGCCAGCUCUGGCCAUCUGGACUGAGCAUCUUUGGAGCAACUCUUCACUGUAAAUGGCUACACUGAAGCACGUUGCCUUUCCACGAAAGCAAUUGCAACAGUACAUUCAUAUUUCAAAA